GCUGCUUAUAAAUUAAGUUUUGAUUCUGGGAAUAGAAUAUCACAGUCUAUCUGUGACCAGUCUUGUGGGUGUGGUCUUCCCAGGUUCCUGGCUCUCCGGCACAGCGGCUGACAAUCUGCCAAUCAAGCCUUGGCUUAAAUACUCUGUGCUCCUGACUGUCAGCGCCAGAUUGUUGUUCUCACUCCAGUGGCCACCAUAACUGGACCUCAGUUCAACCACGCUAUCUUUGACCCCGCAGACCAGCUCCGGAUAAUUCAUCAGCACUAUUCUACUCACCGUCUGUUAUCAUUAAAACCCUCUUUUGAACCUCAA